UGAUUUAUUUAAUGGCCGCAGUACCCUGACUGUGCUAAGGUAGCGUAAUCAGUUGGCUUUUAAAUGGAGUCGUGAAUGAAGGGAUCCACGGGAAUUAGCUGUCUCUUUUUAAUUUGGUUGAAUUUAUUUAAAAGGUGAAAAACCCUUUAAGUUGAAAAAAGACGAGAAGACCCUUAGAGUUUUUAAACGAUUAGCAGAUUGAUAUAAGUUUUUUGCUGGGGCGGCAAAGAGACAGAUUGUUAACUCUCUUUCAGCAGUUUUUAGAAGACGUUAUUUUAAAGUGACAUGAAACUACCUUAGGGAUAACAGCAUAAUUAAUUAAUUAGUUUGUGACCUCGAUGUUGGACUAGGAAAAUUCUUGGCUAGCAGCCAAGAAUUUUGUUCUGUUCGAACAGCUCUUCCUAC
rnacentral:rRNA from 1 species